AUGGGAGCCCAUGAUUCCUCCUACGUGUCUGGCUACCCAUAUAGCUAUGACAUCUGCUGUGAUAAUUUGAAGGAUCUUAGAUUGACUCAUAUUAUAACUCAGCCAGAAAUUGGACUUCGUUUUCUCCUGGGGAAGUGCAAAGCAUUGGAGACACUUUAUUUGGAGUACGUUAUUGGUCUAAGUGAGGGUGAGAUGAUCGCAUUAUUCCAGAAUUGUAGCAACCUUAAAAGCAUCUCACUUCGACUCAUCCCUCUGCACUGUGAAGAUUAUGAGUUUAGGACGUCAUUGACUGAUGUCAGCCUUAAGGCUCUAGCACUCAGCUGCCCUACGCUUCAGGUUGUUGAGCUCACAUUCGCAUUUUGCUCUGUUCGUCGGCCAACAAAUAUAGGCUUUACACAAGAGGGUAUUGUAGCGCUCAUCCAAUCCUGUCCAAUUCGUGCUCUUGUGCUAAACGGUGCCACCAUUUUCUGUGACGAGGGGAUGAAGGGCCUCUCAUCCUCACAGUUUCUGGAGACACUCGAGCUUGUGCAUUGCAAGUCUAUAACUGAUGUUGGGAUGGAUCUCAUUGCUCAGGCUCCUUGUUUGAGUCACCUCACGCUA
rnacentral:rRNA from 1 species